rnacentral:rRNA from 1 species
CCCUUAGAUGUUCUGGGCAGCACGCGCGCUACAAUGGUCUUCGCAAACGGAUGCAUUCUCGAAGGAGAAUGCCAAUCUUGGAAUCUAUGCCUUGGUCGGGACAGUUGCUUGCAAUUUUUCGACUCGAACCAGGAAUUCCUUGUAAUCGUGAUUCAUCACAUCACGAUGAAUACGUCCCUGCCCUUUGUACACACCGCCCGUCGCUCCUACCGAUCGAAGAGUUAGGUGAAUUGUUUUGAUCGAUAAGAUUUGACUAUGGUCAACUCUCGUUGGGAAAUUCUGUGAAUCUGAUUGUUUAGAGGAAGGAAAAGUCGUAACA